rnacentral:tRNA from 1 species
GAGGGUACAGCUCAAGUGGUAGAGUGCAUGCUUAGCACGUAUAAGGUCCUAGGUUCAAUCCCCAGUAUCUCCU